GGCCCAGGUUGUUGGCAUAUAAUUGUUCAUAAUGGCCUCUUAUGGUUCUUUGUAUUUCUGUGGUAUCAUUUGUAAUGUCUUCUUUUUCAUUUCAGGAAUGCUUUUUGUUGUGGUCUUGACUCAAGCUAACCGUGCCCCAAGAUCCCUGGCCAAACUGGGCCACUUUCUCAGCUCUGAGAGCGAUCAGCUCUGCCUGCCUACCUCCUGGCUCACGAGUUGCUAGGUUUUCUGGUCAGGAGGUGCCAGGAGCCUCGCUCUGCAGCAAGUAGAGGUAUGGCUCAGCUCUUCCAUCUGGGCCUACAUAGACCAGGCUCCAGGGCCAGCAGAACUCCACCGUUGGGAACCCGAAUUAGGCAGAUCUGCACUCUGCCGAAUUCCCCGGUAAGACUGCCGCUUCCCUGACUGCAGAUGAGCAGAGUUGCUGGUUGGGACUCCUACUUGGGCCCUGAAGGAACUCCAAAAGGAAGCUUCAGGCUGUGAGAAACACGGCUUCAUCGGAAUCCCGGUCCUUGCCGCUAUCUUCGCUUGGAGCACACUCUCCACCACUGGGAGACCGACAGCUCAAAUCCUCCACCCCGGACUC